UAAAAAUCACCACCGAGAUUUACGUGGGAAAAUUCCAACUUGGAGAAAAACUCACGGAACCAACACGCGAAAAAACAAUUCACUAAGAAAAAAGAUUACAAGGUGAUUACCGACUCCACGGACUCAACCUCUCUUAACCUCCUAUGAAUCUCGCGCAAUCCUCCGGGUUGUCCACGCCCUCACGUUCGAAUCCACGAACGCCUCGCACACGUCCGAAUCCACGAACGCCACUCGAAUCCACGAGCUCACAAUCGGAAUCCACGAAUCGCCUUCAAUCACGCCGAAUCCACGACGCUGUCCAUGAAGAGCAUCAUGAGUAUGGUGAUCCUUCGCUUAGAGUAUCGAUGAAAACCAGAGAAGACAACUCCAAGCGAAGAGUAGAUCAAAUCGACAUAUAGAUAUCAAUUUUCAAUAUCUCGAUUUGACCUAAAAGAGUCUAAAAUGUAGAAAAUAGGUUUUAGAUGAAAUCCGAGCCUCUAGGGUUUCUCAAACAUGUAUUUUCGUGAUGCUUGAUGAGUUAGAGAACCCCAAUAGCUUAUUUAUAGACUUUAGAAUCAAUUAGAGUCGGAUUAGAAAGUUUUCAAAUUUUUACAUUGUGUACCGGUACAAAAUUAAGGUGUUACCGGUUACACGAUGACGGAACAGAAAACCGUAAAGACUUGAAACCGGUAACAUGUUGAUGGUUGUACCGGAAUAGGCUUUGUACCGGUACACUUUCAAUGCUGUACCGGUACACUUUGCCAUUUUCAGUUUUUUGCACUGUUUCGAGUUUCACAAAGUUCCGAAGCACUUUCUAAUCCACUAAACUUUGAUUUUCAUAAUUCUAAUGUCUAUAACUAAGUAUGAAUCACCAUAACAUGUAAUAAAACUUUACCUGAGCAUCGUGAUUCACGUCGUGAGAUAUUUCCGAUUUCUCCGAAGUCUUGGAUUUUUCGAUCUUCGUCAAUUUGCCUCGAUCCUUCAAAACUCCGACUCAAUUCACGAAACUUGCUAACACACAAGACUUAACAAUCUCUCCCUUCGGCAAUUUCGUGACAAAACCCAAAACACAAGACUCAAUUCACGAAGUUCAAUGUCAUCACCAAAACAUCGAACCCCUCGCGUGUAAUCCAAAUACAAAGUGAAAUCCAAAAUUACAUCAAAACUCCUAAAACAGACUCUAUGACUUAGACGCAACUAGGAGCCUUGAAGUAUUGAUUUCCUGCAAAACAGAUUAUUCAAAAUCAAUGUAGAAAUUUGAAACCAUUGGAUUCUUAUACCUUCAAUUUACCUUUAAUGUCAUUUUCCUCGAAACUUCACGACUUCUUCCCUUUUGUUCACGACUUCUCCCUCUGCUUUGAUCAACACCUGUUCAUCUAUGUUCUCCCCCUUUUUGUCAAAAGUUGCCAAAACAAUGCAUAUAGAGAGAAAACCAACUAGAAAGCAAAAAAGUAGUCAAGUCAUAGUUACAGGCCUAAAGCAAAUGCAAAAGCAAGCAAAGUAAAGAGAAGCAAAAACUAAGCAAAGCAAACAUCGUCCUAAAAUAAAGAAACAAAGCUCGACGACGACAUCACUCAGUGUCCUCAUCAUCAUCAUCGCCUGCUCCAGCUCCAGAUCCUCCAACAUCAGGAGCACCAGUGGACGGUGGAAUGAGUGGAUGUCUCAAUGUUGAUCUCGUAUAGGUAGUAUAGGUAGGAAAUACGUCGUCAUGUCGACAUCCCAGUUUUUCCAUAAUCCUUUUCAUCCCUUCUUCCAUCCUUUUUCCAAGUUGCACCACCUUCUUCUUUAAGGAUCGCACCUCAUGGUGAAGUGAUUCCACAGUAAUCACUCCCCCUGAACUCGAAGAUCCUUUACGCUCUGCACGAGGUGGAGGUGCGGAACUCGAAGCUCCUCUGGAAGAUCCCUUAGUCUGCUGAAAAGUCUUCAAAAUACCUACAGACUUGGCCCACGUUACUGCAUCAAUUGGUCCAAGGCCUUGAUCAUACUUCUCACACAAUACAUCUACUCCAUUUUCUUGCAGAAUCCUUGUGAUCAAUAACGAAAAUGGAAGUAGAUCACGUCGUACUGAAGACUGUAUAACAUGUGUCAUUCUUUGCCACACAAGGAAUGGAACAUUAAUGUUCAAUCCGUACGCUUGCUCAGGAUGUCCAAGGAAAUAUAGAAGAACUAAUCGAUCCCAUCGAAUCCUUUUGGUCCCAAUCGUUGGUUGAACAUUGUAGUACAUUACCAAGGACAAAAGAUAAUACUCUAGUCGCAAGUCCUUGGACUCCACAUAGGCAUGAUUCGUCCUCAUUCCAUCCUUGCAGAUUGUACGAACAACAGUCUCCUAGUGAGAUGAAGACUGAUAAAUUCCAGUUGUAUAGUGAAGGCCCGUGGUGUCAACGUGCAUCCCCAAGAGCUCUCCAAUAGUGUUGAGGAGUGACUAGAACCCUCUGCUGACGCACAAAGGUCUCAAAAAGAUAAGUCCCGGUCUCCUUAUCUUCAGCAAGAACCUUUCCGUUCAUGUAGAACUCCCGAAUGAGUUCCACACAAAAUGGAGCACGUGCAGGAACCCGUACAACGGGCUCAAUGGGGACCCUCUGAAGCAAUCGUCCAAACUCCGGAACCUUCUGUUCUGGAUGAGUUCAUUGAAGUUAACAUAUCGCUCCGCUAUGCAUGAUCUGCUUGAAAACGUCUUCCGCCGCUCCGGUUGAACUUCCGCGGCUUGCUUUGAGCGAGUUUCCCACACACGAGAACCACCUCUGCGGGAGGAUUCAGCAGCUAUUCCCUUUCCUUUAUCAAUUCGAGCAGUUGGCUCUUCAGCCGCCUCCGGGGAGCUCGCCUGAUAAUCCGGAUCAGAACCUGGUGACUCGUCGACAGUACGAGUCCUCUUAGAAGCCCCUCGACGGCCUCUCCCACGACCACGACCUCUCCCCGCGGCCAUAAGUACCAACAGCAUCAGCACGAGCGAGAAUAUCACAAAAAUAACCUUGCAUGAACAUUAUUUCAAUAAAAAUCUGUAAAAAUAGUGGAAAAUUUUCUAAUAAUAUUAGAAUGCAUAACAACACUAUUUCUAACUAAUUCAAGCAAGAUUUUUCACUAAAACAUGACAUUCUAUCAAAAAUCCCGAAAUUCCAUAUGUAAUGAGGUACAGAUCACAGAUUAGGAAAAAAUAACGCAUUAUAUCAUGAUCUAAGUGUUCUAGAAGCAAGAAUAUAUGUCUAAACACUGAUUCACAGCAAAAAAUUGCAUAAAAAACGAUUAAAAACAGAGAUCAUGCUUCAACUCGGAAUUUUUUGAAAAAAUAGCAAGAACGCGAGUAAAAGAUUAAAUUCGAGGAAGAUACUCACAAAUUUUUGGAGAAACAAUGUAGAUCUGGAGGAGGAAGUCACCAGGGAUAUUUAGAGAGAAGGAAAUUUUUGAUUCAGAUUUGGGGAUGAAUCGAACCCUGUAACCGGUUAUAAAACCGCGGCUACAGUGUUUUGUACCGGUACACGGUAUUUUGUACCGGUACACUUUGCCAGAUUUUCGAAAAUUUUGAAUUUUUUCCUAAAAAAUCCUUCAAAAUUAAAUUAAUUUCAUACAAAUUAAAAGUUGUACUCCAAAAAUCAUUAUGAUGAAAAUAAAAUAUUAUAAGAUUUCAAAAUACAUCGAAACAUCAAAAAUUUGGUUAUAAAAAAUAAUCUAGUGUUUCAAAAUCAUCAAGAUGUAAAGGUUAAUGAAAAAUGAUUUUUAGAAAUUCGGCAAAAUUGACAUCCAUUUGUCGCAAGUCGUUCAAAAUAGAGAUUUAACUAAUAUGACACCGGGGGUGGCUCUUUGAGCAUCCUUUCAUCCUACCACCUUAUAACACCGAAAAAUCUAACAUAUUCAAUUUUUUUCAACCUUUUCGGUUAUUCAAUUAAUUUUUCAUGUGGUAGUUUCACACACUUACCGGACGACCGGGGUGGUAGCUCUUUCCUACAUGUGGUGGUAGUUUUCACACUUCUUUUAGAUGUAAUUCUUUCCACAUCUUUUAUAACAUAGGAGUUUCUCCCUUUUUUUAAAAAAUAAUUUAAACUCCCCCUAAAUUAGACAAUCUCACAAUUGAAAGAAAUUUUGAUAAAUUUUAGUCUAUUAGUGAAUAUCUAUCCAUCAUAUUCAACACACACAACCAAGAUGAAAUAAUCACCAAGUGAUCAAAUUUGAUUUCAAAAUUUUGAUGAAUAUAUGUAUGAAGAAUUCAUAUAAUAAAUUAUCGUCAAAAUAAUAAACAGUGGAGUAAAACCGAUAAUUAAUAUGAAUUUAAUUCAAGAUGAAUUCUGGUUAAGAUACUUUAAAAAAAAUUUUAAUCUCCCCGAAAUAGUGAUCUCAAAUCAUCUCCAAUCUCAAAGAAAAAUUUAAUUCCCAUGCAUCCUUCGCAAAACGAUUUUAAAAGAAUAAAAUUUAAAAAUAACAAAAAUCGUUUGAACAUGUAAUGCAAUGAAUAACAAUAUGUAAUAAGCACCAAUCAAAGCAUUACAUCAAUAAUAAAAACAAACUAAGACGAAGAACAAGGAAAGAUAUCACCUUUUCAGAUCCAAACUUGUCGGGUUGUUGGUUGUCUUGGCUUGUCGACGUUAGGCACAAUUUGUUUUGAUUUUGGAUCAACCGUUGAUCGUUUCGUUGCUUGAAGCUUCGGUUGAAAUUGUCGUUGAGGCUUAGAAACCCGAUUUGCUUGUGGCUUCGGUUGGACUUGGCGUUGCGGCUUAGAAGUCCGGUUCCCUUGAGGUACUCGACCCAAUUUAUUUUGCUUUUGACUCCGUGGGGGAAGUCGAGUAGUAGAGGGUGCCACUUGACGAUUCGAGGUUGCCGAUUGAUUAUUCUUAUUUUUGUUCGGGGCAACACUUUUUGAUGUGUCCUUUGAUGCCACAUCUAUGACACACCUUUUCUUUUAAAGUUGUUGAGACUAUAGAAGUUGACUUUAAAUCCUUCUCAAUAUAAGUCCUUUCAUAUUCGAGGCCUAACUUGUUCAUUUGAUCCAAUCCGAGCAUAUGAUCCAAUUUCUUUGACCCCGAAGAAAACUUUUGAAUGUCGGAUUUAAGUUGACGAACUUGAUUGGUCAAGACUUGAUUUGAUGUGUAGGUUUUUUCAAAUUGAUGCUCCAAAAAUCCAAUUUUAUCUUUAUAGGAUUUGAUCGUUGAUUCCGCUUCAUCAAGCUUCUCUUGGAGGAUUGAAUUAUUCUUCAAAUUUGAUAACCUUUCCUCCUCAAGAGCCUUGUUUGUAAUCCUCAAAUUGUUAUUCUUCUCUUCAAGGUCCAACAAACGCCUCCUCAACUUCUUAUUAUGCUUGGCCAACUUUUUCGAAUCAAUAAGAAGUUGAUUAUAUGCUUCCGCUAAUUCCUCGUCGUUUGACUCCUCGCUCUCGCCAUCAUCGCUCGAAGUACUAUGCAAGGAAGCAGAAACACUAGAAUUAGAAACAAUAGAGGAUAAACAAAUAAUAUUAGACGAAGGCAAAGAAGUGUUGGAAAAUAAAGCAAGAUUUUCAUUCAUUUCUUCGUCACUUGACGUUGAUUCACUUGAAGUAGAAUCAUCCCAAGUCUUCGCUUGUAAAGUCUUUUGUUUAUAUGUCUUCUUAGAAGGACAAUCCGUUGCAAUGUGGUCGUAGCCUUUACAUUUGUAACAUUGGAUUUUCCCUUCAAAUUCAUCUUUAUCUUUCGAAGACUUUGCAAGUUUCUUAUCCUUAGAUUUAGAAGAUGAAGAUGAUUUAGAAAACGAUUUUUUCUUAGAAGAUGAAGCCUUUUCCGAUUUGUUCUUGUUUCGAAAAUUCCGACGAAACUUCUUCGUUAAGAGCGCGAGUUGAUGUUCGAAAUUGGCGAGCGAAACAUCUCCGUCGGAAUCCGAGUCGUCGUCUUCUUCCUUUGUAGAUUUAAGUGCAAUCCCUGUACUCUUAGAAGAAGACUUGGCAAAAGAUUGAUUAGUAGGAAAAGUCAUUUCAUACGUUUGUAAAGCGCCUACUAAUUCCUCUACUUUCAUCUCGUCCGGAUGCUUAACGGUUUCGAUCGCGGCAACCUUUGCCCUAAAGCGUUCCGGAAUAGUCCGAAGAAUUUUCUAACAACUUUAGAAUCCAGGAAAUUUCUCUCCCAAGUUAGCACAUGUAUCAACGUCUUGUAGUCGCGUAUAGUACUCGGUAAAGGUCUCGUUUUCUUCCAUAAAAAUCGAGUCAAACUUGUUUGUUAACAUUUGUAAUUUUUGGACCUUUACCAACCUAGUUCCUUCAUGCGUAACUUGUAGAGUAUCCCAAAUCUCCUUGCGGUAUUACACGCCGAAAUACGAGUAAACUCCGUUUGAGACAAUGCAUUAAACAAAGCGUUUAUGUCCUUGCAAUUAAACGAAGAUGACUCGUUUUCAUCUUUUGUCCACUUGUUUCUAGGUUUAGGGACGGUAGCAUUAUCGACAACUUCGGUUGGAUGCUUCCAUCCGAAUUCAAUAGAUUGCCAUACUCGCUCAUCGAUUGCAAUUAGAAAAGCUCUCAUGUGAACUUUCCAAUAGGCAUAAUUCGUGCCAUCGAAGAGUGGUGGUCAAUUAAUGUUACCGCCUUCGGCCAUUAGAUAGCAAUUUAUCUAGAUUCCGCUCUGAUACCAAUUGGAAGUUUUGAGGAGCCCAAGAAUCUAUCUAGAUUGUAUCAAACACCUAGAGGGGGAUGAAUAGGUGUAAAAGUCAAAACCUCAAAUCUUAAUGCGAUAAAAAAUAAAUGCGGAAAAUAAAAAUCACAUCGAGAUUUACGUGGAAAAACUCCAACUUGGAGAAAAACCCACGGGACCGACACGCGAAAAAACAAUUCACUAAGAGAAAAGAUUACAAGGUGAUUACCGACUCCACGGACUCAACCUCUCUUAACCUCCUAUGAAUCUCACGCAAUCCUUUGGGUUGUCCACGCCUUCACGUUCGAAUCCACGAACGCCUGAACACGUCCGAAUCCACGAGCUCCACUCGAAUCCACGAGCUCAUGAUCCGAAUCCACGAACCGUCUUCAAUCACGCCGAAUCCAC
rnacentral:lncRNA from 1 species